UUAAACUUCUCGAAUUUAUUUAAUGAAAAGAUGGUGUGUUUUGAACCGGAGACAAUACAGAAUAUCACAGCAUGAAAACACAGAAAACAAGUUUAAUGAUAAACGAAAUUGACCAGCAGGUGCUGAGGUUAAAUAUGGGA